rnacentral:rRNA from 1 species
UACGAAGGUGGCAAGCGUUACUCGGAAUUACUAGGCGUAAAGGGCAGGUAGGUGGUUUGGUAAGUCUGUUGUGUAAGCUCCCGGCUUAACUGGGAGAGGUCAACGGAAACUACCAGGCUUGAGUAUAGGAGAGGGUACUGGAAUUCCUGGUGUAGCGGUGAAAUGCGCAGAUAUCAGGAAGAACACCCGUGGCUAAGGCGGCUCUCUAGUACGGUACUGACGCUGAGACGCGAAAGCGUGGGGAGCGAACAGG